rnacentral:rRNA from 1 species
CAGCCGCCGCGGUAAUACGUAGGUGGCAAGCGUUGUCCGGAAUUACUGGGUGUAAAGGGCGAGUAGGCGGGUAUGCAAGUCAGAUGUGAAAUACCGAGGCUUAACCUCGGGGCUGCAUUUGAAACUGUAAAUCUUGAGUGAUGGAGAGGCAGGCGGAAUUCCCGGUGUAGCGGUGAAAUGCAUAGAGAUCGGGAGGAACACCAGUGGCGAAGGCGGCCUGCUGGACAUUAACUGACGCUGAGGCGCGAAAGUGUGGGGAGCAAACAGGAUUAGAUACCCUGGUAGUCCACACCGUAAACGAUGGAUACUAGGUGUGCGGGGUCUGACCCCCUGCGUGCCGUAGUAAACACAAUAAGUAUCCCACCUGGGGAGUACGAUCGCAAGAUUGAAACUCAAAGGAAUUGACGGGGGCCCGCACAAGCAGUGGAGUAUGUUGUUUAAUUCGACGCAACGCGAAGAACCUUACCAGGGUUUGACAUCCAAAGAACGACGUUGAAAGACGUUGAUGCCCUUCGGGGAGCUUUGAGACAGGAGGUGCAUGGCC